AUUCUAUAGUUACUGAGAAAAUGAUAACAAACAUUCUGUUAGCCUCUUGAUCAUUAACCAACGAGAUGUGGAGGGUAUUGUUUACAUUAUGUCCCAAUAAUCUAAAAAGUAGCAAAUGGGCAAGUGCCAUGUAGGUGACAGUUGUAUGAUUCUUGUUAGGCUUGAUCGGAUUUGACUACAAUAAAUUCUAUCCAGGACGAGGAAGAUGGCCAG
rnacentral:lncRNA from 1 species